rnacentral:lncRNA from 1 species
GAAUGAAUCACUUGUGGGGUGCUGCAUUUCCCAGAGCAGAUGGGAGCUGUUGGGUUCAGAGUCAGAAAUUAUGGAAAGGGAUGCAACGUGUAUCAGCUCCCUUUGGGCAGGAGAGAUCAGAGCGGGGGAUAGGAUGAUUGAAGUGUUUUGGUUUGGUUUGGUUGGAAGACUGUACUGGCUUGCCAGAGGGAAUUCAGAGAAAACCAGAAUACUUUCCCAAAGAGAAGGCAAUUUGACCACCUGCAACUGGAAAGACAUCAAUCAGAUCUCAUUUGGAUUGCCAUCCUUGGGCUUCUCCACUGCAACUCAGAGAGUCCUGGGGCCCCUGUGCCAUUCCUGCUUUGGGGACAUGGGCAGAAAAAAGGUGGUCUCUCUAUCAGACAGUUGGAUGAUGGCAGCACCCAACUUCAGCUGGAAGUGCUCAAACCCUGCAGCAAUGAGACUAAUAUUAAAAACCCUGAUAGUAUCAGGCACCACACUCCAUUAUAUCAGGACUGCAUUUCCAUCUUCAUGCUCAGUCUUCUUAAAAAAGCUUGUGGAGAGCGGGGGCUCAUGA